UACGAAGGGGGCUAGCGUUGCUCGGAAUCACUGGGCGUAAAGCGCACGUAGGCGGCUUGUUAAGUCAGGGGUGAAAUCCUGGAGCUCAACUCCAGAACUGCCUUUGAUACUGGCGAGCUUGAGUUCGGGAGAGGUGAGUGGAACUGCGAGUGUAGAGGUGAAAUUCGUAGAUAUCGAGAGGAACACCUGUGGCGAAGGCGGCCAACUGGACGAGUACUGACGCUGAGACACGAAAGCGUGGGGAGCAAACAGG
rnacentral:rRNA from 1 species